UUGUCUUGUAGACCUCCUGGCCUAAAAUUUAAGGCACAGAAGAAAACAGCAUCAGAUUAUGCAACAGAGAAGGAAACAAAAUUGGAGAUUUUCUUUUGUAUUAGCCUCAUGCGAUUUCCAGGCUUUACACUAGAAAUGUACUAUAUUAUUGUACAGGAAGUUUUUUUUUUUCAGUUGUCCAAAAACAAGGAUCAGCACGUUGUCCCUUGGAGUCCUCCAGGUAAAUGCCUCUUUGCUUCUUUAGACGUGCAAAACAAAGAGAGUAAUCUACUGAAGGGAGGCUACCAUAACAAAAAGAAGCAGAAUUUUAUUUGGUUCUAAAUGUUGUGUAUUAUGUACCUUAUGAUUGUAUAAGGGAUUCC
rnacentral:misc_RNA from 1 species